AUUGAACGCUGGCGGCAGGCCUAACACAUGCCAGUCGAGCGGAUGAAGGGAGCUUGCUCCUGGAUUCAGCGGCGGACGGGUGAGUAAUGCCUAGGAAUCUGCCUGGUAGUGGGGGAUAACGUCCGGAAACGGGCGCUAAUACCGCAUACGUCCUGAGGGAGAAAGUGGGGGAUCUUCGGACCUCACGCUAUCAGAUGAGCCUAGGUCGGAUUAGCUAGUUGGUGGGGUAAAGGCCUACCAAGGCGACGAUCCGUAACUGGUCUGAGAGGAUGAUCAGUCACACUAGAACUGAGACGCGGUCCAGACUCCUACGGGAGGCAGCAGUGGGGAAUAUUGGACAAUGGGCGAAAGCCUGAUCCAACCAUGCCGCGUGUGUGAAGAAGGUCUUCGGAUUGUAAAGCACUUUAAGUUGGGAGGAAGGGCAGUAAGUUAAUACCUUGCUGUUUUGACGUUACCAACAGAAUAAGCACCGGCUAACUUCGUG
rnacentral:rRNA from 1 species